rnacentral:rRNA from 1 species
CACGUAGGGUGCGAGCGUUGUCCGGAAUUAUUGGGCGUAAAGAGCUCGUAGGCGGCUUGUCGCGUCGGAUGUGAAAGCCCGGGGCUUAACUUCGGGUCUGCAUUCGAUACGGGCAGGCUAGAGUUCGGUAGGGGAGAUCGGAAUUCCUGGUGUAGCGGUGAAAUGCGCAGAUAUCAGGAGGAACACCGGUGGCGAAGGCGGAUCUCUGGGCCGAUACUGACGCUGAGGAGCGAAAGCGUGGGGAGCGAACAGG